GACGAACGCUGGCGGCGUGCCUAAUACAUGCAAGUCGAGCGGACCGACGGGAGCUUGCUCCCUUAGGUCAGCGGCGGACGGGUGAGUAACACGUGGGUAACCUGCCUGUAAGACUGGGAUAACUCCGGGAAACCGGGGCUAAUACCGGAUGCUUGAUUGAACCGCAUGGUUCCAAUCAUAAAAGGUGGCUUUCAGCUACCACUUACUGAUGGACCCGCGGCGCAUUAGCUAGUUGGUGAGGUAACGGCUCACCAAGGCGACGAUGCGUAGCCGACCUGAGAGGGUGAUCGGCCACACUGGGACUGAGACACGGCCCAGACUCCUACGGGAGGCAGCAGUAGGGAAUCUUCCGCAAUGGACGAAAGUCUGACGGAGCAACGCCGCGUGAGUGAUGAAGGUUUUCGGAUCGUAAAACUCUGUUGUUAGGGAAGAACAAGUACCGUUCGAAUAGGGCGGCACCUUGACGGUACCUAACCAGAAAGCCACGGCUAACUACGUGCCAGCAGCCGCGGUAAUACGUAGGUGGCAAGCGUUGUCCGGAAUUAUUGGGCGUAAAGCGCGCGCAGGCGGUUUCUUAAGUCUGAUGUGAAAGCCCCCGGCUCAACCGGGGAGGGUCAUUGGAAACUGGGGAACUUGAGUGCAGAAGAGGAGAGUGGAAUUCCACGUGUAGCGGUGAAAUGCGUAGAGAUGUGGAGGAACACCAGUGGCGAAGGCGACUCUCUGGUCUGUAACUGACGCUGAGGCGCGAAAGCGUGGGGAGCGAACAGG
rnacentral:rRNA from 1 species